rnacentral:rRNA from 1 species
UACGUAGGGUGCAAGCGUUGUCCGGAAUCAUUGGGCGUAAAGCGCGUGUAGGCGGUUAGUUAAGUCGCUUGUGAAAUCCCUGGGCUCAACCGAGGAAGUGCAGUCGAAACUAACUAGCUAGAGGACGGCAGAGGAAGGUGGAAUUCCAAGUGUAGAGGUGAAAUUCGUAGAUAUUUGGAGGAAUACCUGUGGCGAAGGCGGCCUUCUGGACAGGUCCUGACGCUGAGACGCGAAAGCGUGGGAGCAAACAGG